AUACAAAUAGCGACUGAUAUGGACUUCGGUCAUCAUUCUCCUCAUCGUAAAAUUUCUGCUGAGGGUUAACAUAGCCAGAGGCACCAUCAAAUCCAGUCGUUACCGACAACUCUAUGCUAUUCAUAGCAGUUUUGGGCCAAUCUGAUGUAACAGCUACGCAUAAUCUUUCGGCAGUCUUUUCUAGCAUCUGUUUUUCAGUGAAUUUUCUGGGUUUUAGCCAUUCACCCCUUAUUUCAACCCUGAAUUUAGGGGUUGAUGGUAUUCUAAUAAGCCUUUUCUUAAUGUACAUUUCAUUUACUACUAUUUAAAACAAAAAUUGUAUCGAUAUCGUGAUUCGCCUCUGAGAUACAGCAAAAA